rnacentral:rRNA from 1 species
UUCCUACGGGGCGCAGCAGUGGGGGAUAUUGCACAAUGGGGGGAACCCUGAUGCAGCGACGCCGCGUGGGCGAUGGAGCGCCUCGGCGCGUAAAGCCCUAUCAGCAGGGAAGAAGAUGACGGUACCUGACUAAGAAGCCCCGGCUAAAUACGUGCCAGCAGCCGCGGUAAUACGUAUGGGGCAAGCGUUAUCCGGAUUUACUGGGUGUAAAGGGAGCGCAGGCGGCUUGGCAAGUCUGAUGUGAAAGGCUGGGGCUCAACCCCAGGACUGCAUUGGAAACUGUUAGGCUGGAGUGUCGGAGAGGG